rnacentral:rRNA from 1 species
GUAGUUAGCCGGAGCUUCCUCCUUGGGUACCGUCACUUCUUCGUCCCCAAGGACAGAGGUUUACAACCCGAAAGCCUUCUUCCCUCACGCGGCGUUGCUGGGUCAGGGUUUCCCCCAUUGCCCAAUAUUCCCCACUGCUGCCUCCCGUAGGAGUCUGGACCGUGUCUCAGUUCCAGUGUGGCCGAUCACCCUCUCAGGUCGGCUACCCAUCGUCGACUUGGUGAGCCGUUACCUCACCAACUAUCUAAUGGGACGCGAGCCCAUCUACAAGCGAUAAAUCUUUGACCUCAUCCCGAUGUCGGGUCGUGGUCUUAUGCGGUAUUAGCAGCCGUUUCCAGCUGUUGUCCCCCUCUUGUAGGCAGGUUGCUCACGCGUUACUCACCCGUCCGCCACUAAGUCAUUCAGCUUUCCACCCGAAGGCUUCCUUCUAAAUGCUUCGUUCGACUUGCAUGUGUUAAGCACGCCGCCAGCGUUCGUCCUGAGCCAUAAUCAAACUCUGA